rnacentral:lncRNA from 1 species
AUCAAUCCGAUGAGCUCGUGCCCAGCCUUCCUCCGCCCGGAGUAUAAAGCCGAGUCCUCCUCUCGUCCAACCACAACCCAUGGGCGCCAAGCCUCUGAUUGAAUCGCCACCGAGAGCUAGAGGACAGGGAGACCCGCCGACCACCGCCGAUGACGAACCCGGCGUGUGCCGUCGUCGGGCUUUUGCGAUCCUGUUGGGGAGGCUUAGCUGGUCGCGCCGCGUGUGAAGAGAGCCUCUCUGGGCAAGAUUGUCAACCGGUUGGUGACCAAUUGCUCACCGGUCGUCCGUCUCUCUCACCAAGUCGCUGUGUGCCGCGGACGGCCCUGUCUGCGCCUGGAGCCACAGUGAGAAUACACUCGUCUAGUUCUCCUUACACUCUGGUACGUGUAGCACUGAAUAGAGGGUGUUUUAGUGCCCUAAAUCGUCGUGUGGGGUUUCGUCGGUGUGCUCUGCCGCGGGUGAGCUUCAUCGUGCCUGCAAUCGAGGUCCUGCCGUUGUGCCUGGGAGCCGAGGCAAAGCAGUGCGGCAAUGGCGCCUCAGCGCCCAGCCAUGGCGCCCCGGUGGCUGACCAUGCCCCUGGCCCACUCGCCACCGUACCUGCUCACCGGAAUUUGGGCGGCGGCGCGCCCUGUUCCUGACCGCAUGUUCCACCAGGAGGAAGAAGAGUUCCUGGCCGUAGGAUCUAUCGAGGGGCGUUCUGGAUUGAUCGUGACUAGGAUCAAUCCGGACCGUUGAAACAUCAACGCACGGAUAAGAUUAACUGGGGGCGUCCACUUUCAGGUGUUUAAAUCUGGGCGGCCGGGUGUCGAUCGGAUGGAUCAGAAUAGAUCUCGGGCAUGUUGGUUAUGAACCGGGGGAUCGUGAUCUGACGGUCCAUGUUGGAUACCGAUUCGAUGCCGUCCCGAUGUGAUCUGGGUCCUCCAUCUCUAAUCGGGUGGUCUGAGCUUAUCUGUACCCCUUCGCCGUGACUUUUAGCUAAAGAGCCCCUUGGUAACUUCAAAAUAAACCCGCCGUCCAACUCGGGGAUUUCUGAGUCUACGUAAAUCUUACGGUUUAGCCCCUGAUCUUUUUGAUAUUCGGUGCACAGUCCAGAGGGAAAUAAAAAUAGAGAAAUAAUUAGGGAAAUUGAUUUUUAAUAAAAAAUAAUUCUAGAAACUUGUAUAAUUCAUAUUUAAUUCAUUUUAGCUCCACAUUGAGUCAUUCCAGUUGCAAUAAUUUUGUAUUAAUAUUGUCUAUCAACUAGUAACACUGUUUAGCCAUGAAACUUGAAUUAAAAUUUUUCAUUUGGAAUAAUCUAUUCUAAGCACUAAAGAAUUUCAGAAAUUCGUAACUCAAUAACUGUAACUCUGUUUUGAUCCAUUAUAGUUGCAUUAGUCUCACAAUAAUAUUUAUUAUCAUAUGGUAACUUUGUUUUGUCAUGAAAUAUAGGUUAAAAUGUUGCACUUAGCAUAUUCUAUAUUUAACCACGUGGAUCUUUGGAAAACCAUAACUUCAUAAUCGUAGCCUCGAAUUUAGCGGUUCUCGAUCCCACGAUCUUGUAGCGACGCGUAUAUUAUUAUUAUUCAGUUUGUGCUUAUGUUUGAUGUGUUGUUAAUUUUGUCUAUACUAUGUUUGUUUGUAUUACUACGACUAGCGUGAGCGUGAGGUCACGAGUCAUCUGAAAAGCAAGCUGGUACCUGGAAUCUCAAGUCCCAGGCAAGUUGUGCCCUUGAUCACUUAUUUUUACCCAAUCAUGUUCUGAUUAAUCAUAAUGAUCUGCAUAGGUUAAUUUUGAUGGGACCCAACAGGUUACCCUAGUUUGAUUAUCUUUAUACCUUGACUCCACUAAACUUUUUGGGUAGUACCUACUAUUGCUUUAUGUGGUUUUGGGUAUGAAGAUUACAUUAUUCAUGAUUAUACUUUUGUUAUCAGUUGUUAUUUAUUGUUCAUGUUAAGAUCAUUAUGUUAAUUGGAACAUGGAGAACCACCUGGGAAAACAGUGCUACCACAAGGGUUUAUGGACGCCCUUGGCUGAUUAACUAGGAAAGCUAGUGGAUGAUUACCUUACCCGAAAGGGGCAAGGGCAGUAGGGGAGUGGUCAGUGUAGGGAGGUUCUUGGUUGAUUUUGCUGCGAUGGCGGUCAGUCGAGGGACUCAUGCACUGGAGCUUCCUAUAAACUGUAGCGGGUUUUCUGAAGCUAGUGGAACUUUGUAAAGGCCUCGUAGUGUUACUCUGCCUCGCCUCCUUGGUAGAGGUGUAUGGGAUUGGCCGUCUCUUGGCAGAUGGGUAACAUGACUUGUGGGUAAAGAUGUGCAACCUCUGCAGAGUGUAAAACUGGUAUACUAGCCGUGCUCACGGUCAUGAGCAGCUCGGACACUCACAUGAUUAAAUUAUGGAACUUAAACUUAAUUUGUCAUAUGCAUUGCAUCGCAGGUGAGGUUGUUACUUUUGUUCUACUACUUAAUUGGGCUGGUAUUUACUUAUACUUAGUAAUUGCUAAUAAAAUUUUGACCAACUUUAAAAGCAAUGCUCAGCUCUAACCAUCCUCUUUGGUAAGCCUUACACUUCACGUGAGCUCCCACCUUUGGCGAGUUCAUGCACAUUAUUCCCCACAACUUGUUGAGCGAUGAACGUAUGUGAGCUCACUCUUGCUGUCUCACACCCCCCACAGGUCAAGAACAGGUACCACAGGAUGAGGCGCGUGGAGGAUGCUGAGAUGUGUUCGUGAGAGGUCUAGGUCGUCGUCUCCCAGUCAACUUUGGGUUGCUGGACCGUUGUCUCCUUAUAAUGUAAU